rnacentral:lncRNA from 10 species
CGCACAUAUUUGCAUAUGUAUUUAUUAAUCUAUUAUCUCUAUCUUGAAAACCGUGAGUUUACAACAAUAUGCCGAAUUCCAAUUCAACACCACGGGGGUCAUCCUUGUUUUUUCCUCUGCUGUAUUUGUAACUUCCUUCUCCAACAGUGAAAACCUUGUCUUUCAUUUUCCUUAAGAUAAUUACUAGUUUGAUCAAUCUUCUAUGGAAACAAUCUCCAAUUUCUGCUACCACACCCACUCCGGCCCAGAUGCCCAUGUUUUCCUGCUUGGCUCUCACUCUCCUUUCCAGGCAGUUCUCCGUCGUGGAUGGCCUCCUUGCAACGCUUGGGCUCUGAAAGCCCACACCAUGCACAGGGGUGCUGUCCUCUCCCUCCCUGGGCCCUGGCUAACUACCCACCCUCUUCACCCUGCUUGGACUCCAAUACCCCACAUUGGGUCACCAUGAGUCCUCUCGACACCACUGUGGAUGCCAUCCUUCCUAUACACUACCUAAUGGCUUUAGGCCUGAAUUAUUAAGGAAGGGGCUGGGUAUGGUGGCUCACGCCUAUAAUCGCAGCACUUUGGGAGGCUGAGGCAGGCAGAUCACCUGAGGUCAGGAGUUGGAGACCAGCCUGGCCAACAUGGUGAAACCGCGUCUCUACUAAAAAUACAAAAAUUAGCCAGACUUGGUGGUGGGCACCUGUAAUCCCAGCUACUCGGGAGGCUGAGACAGGAGAAUCUCUUGAACCCGGCAGGUGGAGGUUGCAGUGAGCAGAGAUCAUGUCACUGACUCCAGCCUGGGUGACAGAGAAAGACUCAGUUAAAAAAAAAAUUAUUAUUAUUAAGGAAGGGAAAUGAUUUUUAAAAAUAAACUUUAAAUUAUUUAAGUACUAUCUAUGUUUUGAGUAGAUUUUUUUUCAUGUCUUUGAGCUACCUUAGCUCUGAGAACAUAGUGGCGAUCUCACACACACACACACACACACACACACACACACACGUGUUAGAAUGAAUUGAAUCACUGUCCCUUUUUGGACCAUAUCAUAAUUCGGCCGUGUCUGGUACUGCUGAUAAACAUAUACGCCAGUUUGUUUGUUUUUUGAGAUGGAGUUUUGCUCUUGUUGCCCAGGCUGGAGUGCAAUGGUGUGAUUUCGGCUUACUGCAACCUCUGCCCCCCAGGUUCAAGUGAUUCUCCUGCCUCAGCCUCCCAAGUAGCUGGGAUUACAGGAGCGCACCAACACGUCCGGCUAAUUUUUGUAUUUUUAGUAGAGACAGGGUUUCACCACCUUGGCCAGGCUGGUCUCGAACUCCUGACUUCAGGUGAUCCACCCGCCAUGGCCUCCCAAAGUGCUAGGAUUACAGGCAUGAGCCACCGCGCCCGGCCCACACCAGUUUUUAAUUAGUGCUUCUCAUCUACAAAUCCAGUCUUCAUUACCUGCUCAGUCAACGUGGACAUGAGCCUUUUUCUCCUUCGCCAGUCUGCACAGUGCUAA